rnacentral:rRNA from 1 species
UACGAAGGGUGCAAGCGUUAAUCGGAAUUACUGGGCGUAAAGCGUGCGUAGGCGGUUUCUUAAGUCUGCUGUGAAAGCCCCGGGCUCAACCUGGGAAUGGCGGUGGAUACUGAGAAGCUGGAGUACGGUAGAGGAAGGUGGAAUUCCCGGUGUAGCGGUGAAAUGCGUAGAUAUCUGGAGGAAUACCGGUGGCGAAGGCGGCAUCCUGGACCAUUACUGACGCUGAGGCGCGAAAGCUAGGGGAGCAAACGGG